CCGUUGCAAAGGUAGGGGAUGAGGUGUGAUUAGGAGUGAAAAGCUAAUCGAACCCGGAGAUAGCUGGUUCUCCUCGAAAGCUAUUUAGGUAGCGCCUCAAGUAUCACUGUUGGGGGUAGAGCACUGUUAUGGCUAGCGGGUCAUUGAGACUUAGCAAACCAUUGCAAACUCCGAAUACCAACACGUGCAAGCUUGGGAGACACACGGCGGGUGCUAACGUCCGUCGUGAAAAGGGAAACAACCCAGACCCGCAGCUAAGGUCCCAAAAUCAUGGCUCAGUGGUGAACGAUGUGGGAAGGCAUAGACAGCCAGGAGGUUGGCUUAGAAGCAGCCAUCCUUUAAAGAAAGCGUAAUAGCUCACUGGUCGAGUCGGCCUGCGCGGAAGAUUUAACGGGGCUAAGCCAUGUACCGAAGCUCGGGGUUCACACUUUGGUGUGAGCGGUAGAGGAGCGUUCGCCUGUGAAGGUGAGUCGUAAGGCUUGCUGGAGGUAUCGGAAGUGCGAAUGCUGACAUGAGUAACGAUAAGGGGGGUGAAAAGCCUCCCCGCCGAAAGCCCAAGGUUUCCUCGCGCAACGUUAAUCGGCGCAGGGUGAGUCGGCCCCUAAGGCGAGGCGGAAACGCGUAGUCGAUGGGAAGCGGGUUAAUAUUCCCGCACCGCUCGUGAUUGCGAUGGAGUGACGGAGAAGGCUAGGUGUACCGGGCGUUGGUUGUCCCGGGGAAAGGCGGUAGGUGUGGAUCUUAGGCAAAUCCGGGAUCCUCUACACCGAGCACCGAGACGAGUCCUUUUGAGGACGAAGUCACUGACGCCACGCUUCCAGGAAAAACUUCUAAGCUUCAGAUCACGAGGACCGUACCGCAAACCGACACAGGUAGGCAGGGUGAGAAUCCCAAGGCGCUUGAGAGAACUCGGGUGAAGGAACUAGGCAACAUAGCACCGUAACUUCGGGAGAAGGUGCGCCCUUGAUCGUGGCUCCGUGCGGAGCUGAGCGAUCGAGGGCCGCAGUGACCAGGCCGCUGCGACUGUUUAUCAAAAACACAGCACUCUGCAAACACGAAAGUGGACGUAUAGGGUGUGACGCCUGCCCGGUGCCGGAAGGUUAAUUGAUGGGGUCAGCCGCAAGGCGAAGCUCUUGAUCGAAGCCCCGGUAAACGGCGGCCGUAACUAUAACGGUCCUAAGGUAGCGAAAUUCCUUGUCGGGUAAGUUCCGACCUGCACGAAU
rnacentral:rRNA from 1 species